GUUAAUAGAAAUGCUUGCGCUGCACAGAACGAAUACAGGGCCUUUUUCUCAUGCUAGAGCUCUUCAGCAGAGCUCUGCUCAUGGUCUGCCCUGGCAAAGCAUUGAACCAACAUCCUCACUUUGAGAGGGGGAGUGCUUACCAUUGGUGAAGACAAAACACACCCAUUCUGGCCAUCUCAGUGGGCCGCUGGGAUUAAAAAAUGCCUGGGCCGAAUUGUUUUCCUAGUCCGGCCCUGCUGCGUACAAUACUCCAAGUGAGGUCUCACCAGUGUUCUGUACAAUGGCAUGAGUACUUCCCUCUUUCUACUGCUAAUACCUCUC